rnacentral:lncRNA from 1 species
AGAGAAUGCUGAGAUGGAGAGAAUGUUGAGUUGAAGAAAUUGCCAAAUGUGAUGUAUUAUGCUGGGAGUAGCUCAGAAAACACCAUAGAAAUGUUCCAAAAAUGAUGUCCAGUGUUCUGGUACCAUAACCACACCCAGCCUGAUUUGUUCUGCAGUCUUCGCCAUUUAGGCCUUCCACAGUUCUUGUCAGGUGGCAGACGGUGGAGCAGGAGCUUGGAGCAUCUCAGGAGCCCCUGCAUCUUUUGCAUCAGUCCUCUUCCG